rnacentral:rRNA from 1 species
GACGAACGCUGGCGGCGUGCUUAACACAUGCAAGUCGAACGGAAAGGCCCUGCUUUUGUGGGGUGCUCGAGUGGCGAACGGGUGAGUAACACGUGAGUAACCUGCCCUUGACUUUGGGAUAACUUCAGGAAACUGGGGCUAAUACCGGAUAGGAGCUCCUGCUGCAUGGUGGGGGUUGGAAAGUUUCGGCGGUUGGGGAUGGACUCGCGGCUUAUCAGCUUGUUGGUGGGGUAGUGGCUUACCAAGGCUUUGACGGGUAGCCGGCCUGAGAGGGUGACCGGCCACAUUGGGACUGAGAGACGGCGCAGACUCCUACGGGAGGCAGCAGUGGGGAAUAUGGCACAAUGGGCGGAAGCCUGAUGCAGCAACGCCGCGUGCGGGAUGACGGCCUUCGGGUUGUAAACCGCUUUCGCCUGUGACGAAGCGUGAGUGACGGUAAUGGGUAAAGAAGCACCGGCUAACUACGUG